rnacentral:rRNA from 1 species
GCAGAACGCGAAGAACCUUACCCAGGUUUGACAUCUUCGGAAGGCUUCCGAAAGGAAACUGUGCCGUAAGGAACCGAAUGACAGGUGAUGCAUGGCCGUCGUCAGCUCGUGUCGUGAGAUGUUUGGUUAAGUCCAUCAACGAGCGCAACCCUUAUAGUUAGUUGUAUUUUUCUAGCUAGACUGCCCUGGUAACAGGGAGGAAGGGGGGAUGAUGUCAGGUCAGUAUUUCCCUUACAUCUGGGGCUACAAACACGCUACAAUGGCCGGUACAAAGGGCAGCCAAGUCGCGAGACGGAGCAAAUCCCAUCAAAGCCGGUCCCAGUUCGGAUAGCAGGCUGAAACUCGCCUGCUUGAAGCCGGAAUCGCUAGUAACGGUAGGUCAGCAUACUACCGUGAAUACGUUCCCGGGUCUUGUACACACCG